ACUGGGAGAAUAAAACCCACCAGACUGGCAUACCUCCAGUAGUGAAGAGGAAGAAUGUUAAGAGGCCUCACGGGAGAGCUGGAGCCUCCCAGGUUUUUGGGAAGGAUGGAUUGCUGAUGCUUAAUCAAGGCCUGAGACCUUUCAGUGCACAGAUCCUGCUCAGAAAGGCUUCUUCAUAUCUACAAAGUUUCUGAGGUUUAUGAAGUUUGACCCUUAGACUCUGAUAUGAAUCCAGUGCCUCUGGGCUCCAGGCCGCCUCUCGGACCCUCUUUGGCAGCAAUACCUGUCCUUCCCAUGGACACACAGAAGAAGGAAGCAUCUGGCAACUGAUCAACAGCAGGUGAGAGAGACUAUUUUUUAGCUUUUAAAAGCCAAACAGUCCCUGGCAACACACAG